GUUGUAUGGUUAAGUGACUAAGCGUACACGGUGGAUGCCUUGGCAGUCAGAGGCGAUGAAGGACGUAUUAACUUGCGAUAAGCCUAGUCAAGCUAGUAAAAAGCACUUGAGUCUACGAUUUCCGAAUGGGGAAACCCACCUGCUUGCAGGUAUCGUUAACUGAAUACAUAGGUUAACGAGGCGAACGCGGAGAACUGAAACAUCUAAGUACCCGUAGGAAAAGAAAUCAACCGAGAUUCCGGAAGUAGCGGCGAGCGAAACCGGAACAGCCCUUAAGCUUAUUAUGUGUUAAUGGAAGGUCGCUGGAAAGCGCCACGAUACAGGGUGAUAGUCCCGUACAUGAAAAGACAUUUUAAGUGAAAUCGAGUAGGUCGGAGCACGUGAAACUUUGACUGAAUAUAGGUGGACCAUCAUCUAAGGCUAAAUACUCCCAACUGACCGAUAGUGAACCAGUACCGUGAGGGAAAGGCGAAAAGAACCCCUGUGAG
rnacentral:rRNA from 1 species